UGCAGCAGCACCACCGCCAGCACAGUGGGAAACUCCAGCUCACACAACACUGCUUCUCAAAGCCCCGACUUUGUAAGGACGGUGAACAGCGGCGGCUCUUCCGAGCCUAGCCCUACAGAAGUGGAUGUGUCCAGGCAGUGUGUCUGCUCCCCCGGCAGGUCAGAGGACUCUGAGGCCAUGGAGGAGGGAGAUGCAGAGAGUUCUGUCUGCCCCA
rnacentral:lncRNA from 1 species